rnacentral:rRNA from 1 species
UACGGAGGGGGGCUAGCGUUGUUCGGAGUUACUGGGCGUAAAGAGUGCGUAGGCGGUUUUCUAAGUUUGGUGUGAAAUCUCCCGGCUUAACUGGGAGGGUGCGCCGAAAACUGGAAGGCUUGAGUAUGGGAGAGGUAAGCGGAAUUCCUGGUGUAGCGGUGAAAUGCGCAGAUAUCAGGAGGAACACCGGUGGCGAAGGCGGGUCUCUGGGCAUCUCCUGACGCUGAGGCGCGAAAGCGUGGGGAGCAAACGGG